GUGGUCCAGUCAGCAGCACAUAUACUAAAAUUGGAAUGAUACAGAGAAGAUUAACAUGGCCCUUGCACAAGGAUGACACACAAGUUCAUGCAGCAUGUAUUUCUUUC
ensembl:snRNA Gm23431 U6 spliceosomal RNA